AUGGCGAUCAUCGCCAUGAUUGCUAUGACCUACGAGGAGGAGAUUCAGCAAGACUUUGAGCUGUGGCUCCGUUAUGCUGUGUCAUGCAAAGCGAGGGUUAUUCGACUCGAAAUGACUGUUUAUCGUCCUUUGAGGAUAUUUCCUGGGACUCUCAUCUCCCAGCACUUGACAAGGUUAAUUCUUCAUCGUGUCCAGUUUGAGGAUUUCUCUCUUGAUGUUUUGGGCUGUCAGUUACUGGAGGUGUUGGACAUUCAAGACUGUAUAAUCGACAUUGAGACUGUUUUCCCAAAAUCUCUACAACAUCUGGCGAUCAGAGAUACAGGUCUUUUCCCAAUGGAAACCCGGUGUGUUAUAUCUGCGCCAGGUCUGGUUUUCUUGGAACUAUACGACUGUUUGGGUUGGACUCCGUUGCUUGAGAGCCUGCCAUCAUUGGUAACGGCAUUUAUCAACACUGGACCCUACUGCAGAGAUAAUUGUAGAAAUAGUUCUAACGCGGACUGUGGUCUCGAGUCAUGUGUGGAGUGCUAUGGUAUAGAUGAUUGUGUGCUUCUCCAAGGUUUAUCAGCCGCUACAAAUUUAGAGCUGAUAACCUGCAAGUCUAUGAUCUUCAGAAAUGAUAUAAAAUGGUCCCCGAUGUUUAGCAAGGUAAAAACAUUGUUGCUUGGUGACUGGUGUAUGGCUGCUAACUUCAGUGGACUAGUUUACUUUCUCCAGCACUCACCAAUUCUACAGAGGCUUACGCUUGAACUUGCUAGUCGCUCUGAGGAAUUUCUCAUUGAAACGAGUGAGAUCUACAACCCAGCGGAACAAUUUUUGGUAUCAAAACAUCUCAAGGCAGUCAAAAUCAAUCAUGUGAAAGACGAUAAAAGGAUUCACCAAUUAUUGAAGGUCCUUGCUUAUCAUGGAGUACAUUUGGAACUAAUAAACAUUGAAGAGAAGGAGGACGCUCGUGAACGCUUCAGUUUUCAGCACAAGUAG
rnacentral:rRNA from 1 species